rnacentral:misc_RNA from 1 species
GCCCCUUGAUCUACCACUCUCUCUAUCAUAAAUCACCUUAGCUUCCACAACUUUCCCUUGCUCACUGAACAAGGUCUCAAGUGCCAAGUUAUCAACACCCCAAGAAAGAUUACCAACAUACAACCGGUUGGCAGAAUCGAAAGUAUCACCACCUCGGGGACUUCUAUUGGAAGAAGCUUCCCUCUGGGGAGGAGGUCCAGAAUUCACUCUCAAUGGCCUACCCUCGAGUUCAUAGCCAUUGAACUGCUGAGCCGCUGCUUCAACUUCCUCAGUAGUUGACAUGGUCACAAAACCAAAUCCUCUGCUUCUCCCAGUUACUUUGUCAUAUAUUACCUCAACCAUCUCAACAUUUCCAGCACUUUCAAACAAGCCAGCAAGCUGGGCACUGUCAACGCUAAAGGGAAGAUU